CAGGAAUGAAGCACUGUGUUCUGUACC
rnacentral:piRNA from 1 species